rnacentral:rRNA from 1 species
UACGGAGGGUGCGAGCGUUGUCCGGAAUCACUGGGCGUAAAGGGCGCGUAGGCGGCGCGGGAAGUCCGUGGUGAAAACUCGAGGCUCAACCUCGAGACGCCGAUGGAAACCAUCUGACUAGAGUCCGGAAGAGGAGAGUGGAAUUCCUGGUGUAGCGGUGAAAUGCGCAGAUAUCAGGAAGAACACCCGUGGCUAAGGCGGCUCUCUAGUACGUGACUGACGCUGAGACGCGAAAGCGUGGGGAGCGAACAGG